rnacentral:rRNA from 1 species
GACGAACGCUGGCGGCGUGCUUAACACAUGCAAGUCGAACGGAAAGGCCCUGCUUUUGUGGGGUGCUCGAGUGGCGAACGGGUGAGUAACACGUGAGUAACCUGCCCUUGACUUUGGGAUAACUUCAGGAAACUGGGGCUAAUACCGGAUAGGAGCUCCUGCUGCAUGGUGGGGGUUGGAAAGUUUCGGCGGUUGGGGAUGGACUCGCGGCUUAUAAGCUUGUUGGUGGGGUAGUGGCUUACCAAGGCUUUGACGGGUAGCCGGCCUGAGAGGGUGACCGGCCACAUUGGGACUGAGAUACGGCCCAGACUCCUACGGGAGGCAGCAGUGGGGAAUAUUGCACAAUGGGCGGAAGCCUGAUGCAGCAACGCCGCGUGCGGGAUGACGGCCUUCGGGUUGUAAACCGCUUUCGCCUGUGACGAAGCGUAAGUGACGGUAAUGGGUAAAGAAGCACCGGCUAACUACGUG